GUGGGGAAUAUUGGACAAUGGGCGAAAGCCUGAUCCAGCCAUGCCGCGUGUGUGAAGAAGGUCUUCGGAUUGUAAAGCACUUUAAGUUGGGAGGAAGGGCAGUAAGUUAAUACCUUGCUGUUUUGACGUUACCGACAGAAUAAGCACCGGCUAACUUCGUGCCAGCAGCCGCGGUAAGACGAAGGGUGCAAGCGUUAAUCGGAAUUACUGGGCGUAAAGCGCGCGUAGGUGGUUUUGUAAGUUGGAGGUGAAAUCCCCGGGCUCAACCUGGGAACUGCCUCCAAAACUGCAUGACUAGAGUACGGUAGAGGGUAGUGGAAUUUCCUGUGUAGCGGUGAAAUGCGUAGAUAUAGGAAGGAACACCAGUGGCGAAGGCGACUACCUGGACUGAUACUGACACUGAGGUGCGAAAGCGUGGGGAGCAAACAGGAUUAGAUACCCUUGUAGUCC
rnacentral:rRNA from 1 species